UACGGGGGGGGGCAAGCGUUGUUCGGAAUUACUGGGCGUAAAGGGCUCGUAGGCGGCCAACUAAGUCAGACGUGAAAUCCCCUCGGCUUAACCGGGGAACUGCGUCUGAUACUGGAUGGCUUGAAUCCGGGAGAGGGAUGCGGAAUUCCAGGUGUAGCGGUGAAAUGCGUAGAUAUCUGGAGGAACACCGGUGGCGAAGGCGGCAUCCUGGACCGGUAUUGACGCUGAGUGAGCGAAAGCCAGGGGAGCAAACGGGG
rnacentral:rRNA from 1 species